GGGCCUGUAGUAUAGUGGAUAGAACGGUCGGUUGCGGACCGACAGACGGGAGUUCAAUUCUUCCCAGGCCCG
rnacentral:tRNA from 1 species